CAUGGCUCAGGAUGAACGCUGGCGGCGUGCCUAAUACAUGCAAGUCGAACGCACAGCGAAAGGUGCUUGCACCUUUCAAGUGAGUGGCGAACGGGUGAGUAACACGUGGACAACCUGCCUCAAGGCUGGGGAUAACAUUUGGAAACAGAUGCUAAUACCGAAUAAAACUUAGUGUCGCAUGACACAAAGUUAAAAGGCGCUUCGGCGUCACCUAGAGAUGGAUCCGCGGUGCAUUAGUUAGUUGGUGGGGUAAAGGCCUACCAAGACAAUGAUGCAUAGCCGAGUUGAGAGACUGAUCGGCCACAUUGGGACUGAGACACGGCCCAAACUCCUACGGGAGGCUGCAGUAGGGAAUCUUCCACAAUGGGCGAAAGCCUGAUGGAGCAACGCCGCGUGUGUGAUGAAGGCUUUCGGGUCGUAAAGCACUGUUGUAUGGGAAGAACAGCUAGAAUAGGAAAUGAUUUUAGUUUGACGGUACCAUACCAGAAAGGGACGGCUAAAUACGUGCCAGCAGCCGCGGUAAUACGUAUGUCCCGAGCGUUAUCCGGAUUUAUUGGGCGUAAAGCGAGCGCAGACGGUUUAUUAAGUCUGAUGUGAAAGCCCGGAGCUCAACUCCGGAAUGGCAUUGGAAACUGGUUAACUUGAGUGCAGUAGAGGUAAGUGGAACUCCAUGUGUAGCGGUGGAAUGCGUAGAUAUAUGGAAGAACACCAGUGGCGAAGGCGGCUUACUGGACUGCAACUGACGUGNG
rnacentral:rRNA from 1 species